rnacentral:rRNA from 1 species
GUAGGGAAUAUUGGACAAUGGGGGCAACCCUGAUCCAGCGACGCCGCGUGAGUGACGAAGGCCUUCGGGUCGUAAAGCUCUGUUGCAAGGGAAAAACAAAAUGAUGGUACCUUGCUAGAAAGGAUCGGCUAACUUCGUGCCAGCAGCCGCGGUAAGACGAGGGAUCCUAGCGUUGUUCGGAAUUAUUGGGCGUAAAGCGGGUGUAGGUGGCUUUGUAAGUCAGGUGUGAAAGCCUGGGGCUUAACCCCAGAAGUGCAUUUGAUACUGCGAAGCUUGAGUGCUGGAGAGGCUACUAGAAUUCUUGGUGUAGUGGUGAAAUACAUAGAUAUCAAGAGGAAUACCGGAGGCGAAGGAGGGUAGCUGGCCAGACACUGACACUCAGACCCGAAAGCGUGGGGAUCAAACAGGAUUAGAAACCCUGGUAGUCC